GAGGCAGCAGUGGGGAAUUUUCCGCAAUGGGCGAAAGCCUGACGGAGCAACGCCGCGUGAGGGACGAAGGCCUCUGGGCUGUAAACCUCUUUUCUCAAGGAAGAAGAUAUGACGGUACUUGAGGAAUAAGCCACGGCUAAUUCCGUGCCAGCAGCCGCGGUAAUACGGGAGUGGCAAGCGUUAUCCGGAAUUAUUGGGCGUAAAGCGUCCGCAGGCGGCCUUUCAAGUCUGCUGUUAAAGCGUGGAGCUUAACUCCAUUAUGGCAGUGGAAACUGAUCGGCUUGAGUAUGGUAGGGGCAGAGGGAAUUCCCGGUGUAGCGGUGAAAUGCGUAGAUAUCGGGAAGAACACCAGUGGCGAAGGCGCUCUGCUGGGCCAUUACUGACGCUCAUGGACGAAAGCCAGGGGAGCGAAAGGGAUUAGAUACCCCUGUAGUCCUGGCCGUAAACGAUGAACACUAGGUGUCGGGGGAAUCGACCCCUUCGGUGUCGUAGCUAACGCGUUAAGUGUUCCGCCUGGGGAGUACGCACGCAAGUGUGAAACUCAAAUGAAUUGACGGA
rnacentral:rRNA from 1 species